GGCAAGUUGAGGGAGGGGCAGCUGUCAAGACCGAUCAGAGGCAGUGAACAGUGAGAUACAGGUCAAAUGGAGCCAUCGGAGGUGGUUCCGGCAUCUCGUCAGGAUGUCUCCUGAGCGCCUUCUGUUGGAGGUUCUCCAGGCAUGUCCAACUGGCAGAAGGCUCCAGGGAGGAGCUGGAAAACAUUGCUGGGGAGAGCGACGCCUGGAUUACCUUGCUCAGCCUACUGCCACCACAACCCAACUCCAGAUAAGAGGCAGAGAACUUACAGA